AUUGCAGAGGACUUUUAUUUCCUUUCUAUUUUUUAAACAAUGAACAUGUUUCCUUUUAAAAAACAUAAAACAUACAAUUUACAUGAAAUUACAAAAGGAAUUUCUCUUAAACUAUAAUUCAGAGGUUGAAAUACUUAUGCACAGAUGAUGAGAAUAGGCAUUGAUAUACGAAAGCUAAAUAGUCAGAACCUACACACAAUUAGAGCUCUUUCUACCGUCAGUAUCUGCGCCUUCCUGUAGCCCCAUUUCUUGUAACUACCCCCCCAACACCACCAAGAAAAAACAGACCCUAAAUGUAGCACCACAAUUCCUGUGGUGCCAGUCUUAAAAAAGGUGCCAAAUGGCCCCGUCCCCUGAUUUAAUACCUUUGUGCAAACCUGUCCCAUCUCAUGUGAGCUGGACUUGGUGACUAACUUCAGUCAAUAGAAUUAAACAGAAAUCACAUGCGUAAAAUAGAAACUAGGUCAUAAAAGUAGUAUGACAUCACCCGGAAUCUCUCUAUUGCUCUAGUUGUCAUGUCAAAAAACUACUUAGACAGACUAUGAAGAGAUACAUAGGGUGAGAAACGGAGGCCUUCAGCCAACAGCUGGGAGAAGCUGAGUCCCAUCAGCCAUUCAAAAGACUGCAGCCCCAGCCAAGAGUUUGAUGUAACCUCAGGAGAGACCCUGAGCCAGAACCACCUAGAAAUCUCCAAGUGAGAAGACCUUACUUGUCUUCUGAAAGUCUGGCCAACGAGCUAUACCUAGUGAUUCCAAAGUCCACAUAUAUUUACUCUGUUCUCACUGUACAAAGUAACCACUCUGAAGUCAAAAAAGCUGGGAUACAUGAAGACUGCCAUCCCUUGAGUCACUUGCCCUGUAGCUGCCACUGUUGGAAAAGGGCUUGCUUCUGUGUCCUUGUGCCCACUUUGAAAAUCCCUGGGAAGUCCUUGGAGUCAGAUGAGCAGGCCUCCGCCACUCUGCCAAAAAGUCUGUUCAGAAGUUUCACAUCACUAGAGAAGAGAGAAGAAGGACAUUUGUACUGGGAGGAGUCGACCGGUCCCAGUAAGGAGAAAGUAGCUACAGCGUCAUGGGUGAGCUGGGUCCCCCAAAAAGGAACUUUAAGGGAAUGGACUGAAUCAAGUCUGAGAUGUCCCCAAAGCAAGACCAAAGAACUGAGGAAGAGAAGCAUUCAUCAGAAACCAAAAUUCAGCUACAAGUGAGCAUCCAGAUGGAGGUAUUAUGAAGAGGAACUGAGACUGAGGGCAAAAGGUGCCAGCCAGAAUCCUGGAUAGGAGAGCAAGAACCAGGACCUCAUUUAAGAGACAACCUGCUUAAGGCAGAGUAAGCACAAAUGGGCACUCAACAUCAAUGAAGUAACAGCAAAGUCACAUAAUAAAAGCAUGGAAUUAAGACAAGCUGAAGAUUCGGAUGCAAUAAAACAACCACCCAUUAUUAUCUCAGUGGUUACUGUGCCUCAUUUAAUCUAAUUCUA
rnacentral:lncRNA from 1 species